rnacentral:sRNA from 1 species
UGUCUUGAUGACCUGUGCGUAAACAAUA